GACGAACGCUGGCGGCGUGCCUAAUACAUGCAAGUCGAGCGAAGUUUUUCUGGUGCUUGCACCGGAAAAACUUAGCGGCGAACGGGUGAGUAACACGUAAAGAACCUGCCUCAUAGACUGGGACAACUAUUGGAAACGAUAGCUAAUACCGGAUAACAGCAUUAACUGCAUGGUUGAUGUUUAAAAGUUGGUUUUGCUAACACUAUGAGAUGGCUUUGCGGUGCAUUAGCUGGUUGGUGGGGUAAAGGCCUACCAAGGCGACGAUGCAUAGCCGACCUGAGAGGGUGAUCGGCCACACUGGGACUGAGACACGGCCCAGACUCCUACGGGAGGCAGCAGUAGGGAAUCUUCCGCAAUGGGCGAAAGCCUGACGGAGCAACGCCGCGUGAGUGAAGAAGGAUUUCGGUUCGUAAAGCUCUGUUGUUAGGGAAGAAUGAUUGUGUAGUAACUAUACACAGUAGAGACGGUACCUAACCAGAAAGCCACGGCUAACUACGUG
rnacentral:rRNA from 1 species